CGGGGGGGGCAAGCGUUGUUCGGAAUUACUGGGCGUAAAGGGCUCGUAGGCGGCCAACUAAGUCGGAUGUGAAAUCCCCAGGCUUAACCUGGGAACUGCAUCCGAUACUGGAUGGCUUGAAUUCGGGAGAGGGAUGCAGAAUUCCAGGUGUAGCGGUGAAAUGCGUAGAUAUCUGGAGGAAUACCGGUGGCGAAGGCGGCAUCCUGGACCGACAUUGACGCUGAGGAGCGAAAGCUAGGGGAGCAAACGGGAUUAGAUACCCCGGUAGUCCUAGCCCUAAACGAUGAAUGCUUGGUGUGGCGGGUAUCGAUCCCUGCCGUGCCGAAGCUAACGCAUUAAGCAUUCCGCCUGGGGAGUACGGUCGCAAGGCUG
rnacentral:rRNA from 1 species